UACGUAGGGUGCAAGCGUUGUCCGGAAUUAUUGGGCGUAAAGAGCUCGUAGGCGGUUUGUCGCGUCUGCUGUGAAAACUCGGGGCUUAACUCCGGGCCUGCAGUGGGUACGGGCAGACUAGAGUGCGGUAGGGGAGACUGGAAUUCCUGGUGUAGCGGUGAAAUGCGCAGAUAUCAGGAGGAACACCGGUGGCGAAGGCAGGUCUCUGGGCUGACACUGACGCUCAUGCACGAAAGCGUGGGGAGCAAACAGG
rnacentral:rRNA from 1 species